rnacentral:rRNA from 1 species
CAGGACGAACGCUGGCGGCGUGCCUAAUACAUGCAAGUCGAACGGCUUUUCUAUGGAAGCUUGCUUCCACUGAGAAGAUAGUGGCGAACGGGUGAGUAACACGUGGGGUAACCUGCCCAUAAGAGGGGGAUAACAUCCGGAAACGGGUGCUAAUACCGCAUAGUUUUUCUUGAUCGCAUGAUUGAGAAAGGAAAGACGGCCUUUGUGCUGUCGCUUAUGGAUGGACCCGCGGCGUAUUAGUUAGUUGGUGAGGUAACGGCUCACCAAGACGAUGAUACGUAGCCGACCUGAGAGGGUGAUCGGCCACAUUGGGACUGAGACACGGCCCAAACUCCUACGGGAGGCAGCAGUAGGGAAUCUUCCGCAAUGGACGAAAGUCUGACGGAGCAACGCCGCGUGAGUGAAGAAAGGUUUUCGGAUCGUAAAACUCUGUUGUCAGAGAAGAACAAGUUGGAGAGUAACUGCUCCAGCCUUGACGGUAUCUGACCAGAAAGCCACGGCUAACUACGUGCCAGCAGCGGC